GACGAACGCUGGCGGCGUGCUUAACACAUGCAAGUCGAACGGAAAGGCCUUGCUUUUGUGGGGUGCUCGAGUGGCGGACGGGUGAGUAACACGUGAGUAACCUGCCCUUGACUUUGGGAUAACUUCAGGAAACUGGGGCUAAUACCGGAUAGGAGCUCCUGCUGCAUGGUGGGGGGUGGAAAGUUUCGGCGGUUGGGGAUGGACUCGCGGCUUAUCAGCUUGUUGGUGGGGUAGUGGCUUAUGAAGGCUUUGACGGGUAGCCGGCCUGAGAGGGUGACCGGCCACAUUGGGACUGAGAUACGGCCCAGACUCCUACGGGAGGCAGCAGUGGGGAAUAUUGCACAAUGGGCGGAAGCCUGAUGCAGCAACGCCGCGUGCGGGAUGACGGCCUUCGGGUUGUAAACCGCUUUCGCCUGUGACGAAGCGUGAGUGGCGGUAAUGGGUAAAGAAGCACCGGCUAACUACGUGCCAGCAGCCGCAGUAA
rnacentral:rRNA from 1 species